AAAAGCAAGUGUCACGGAUGAAUGGAUAAAGAAGAUGUGGCACAUAUAUACAAUGGAAUAUUACUCAGCCAUAAAAAGAAACGAAAUUGAGUUAUUUGUAGUGAGGUGGAUGGACCUAGAGUCUGUCAUACAGAGUGAAGUAAGUCAGAAAGAGAAAAACAAAUACCAUAUGCUAGCACAUAUAUAUGGAAUCUAAGGGAAAAAAAAAAAGGUCAUGAAGAACCUAGGGGUAAGAUGGGAAUAAAGACACAGACCUACUAGAGAAUGGACUUGAGGACACGGGGAGGUGGAAGGGUAAGCUGUGACAAAGUGAGAGAGUGGCAUGGACAUAUAUACACUACCAAACGUAAAAUAGAUAGCUAGUGGGAAGCAGCCGCAUAGCACAGGGAGAUCAGCUCGGUGCUUUGUGACCGCCUGGAGGGGUGGGAUAGGGAGGGUGGGAGGCAGGGAGAUUGAAGAGGGAAGAGAUAUGGGAACAUAUGUAUAUGUAUAACAGAUUCACUUUGCUAUAAAGCAGAAACUAACACACCAUUGCAAAGCAAUUAUACUCCAAUAAAGAUGUUAAAAAAAAAAAAGUUGCUCUGACUGUAGGCCAC